rnacentral:rRNA from 1 species
AGAGCGAACGCUGGCGGCAGGCCUAACACAUGCAAGUCGAGCGCCCGUAGCAAUACGGGAGCGGCAGACGGGAUAGUAACACGUGGGAACGCGCCCUUCGGUUCGGAAUAACUCAGGGAAACUUGGGCUAAUACCGGAUACGCCCUUACGGGGAAAGAUUUAUUGCCGAAGGAACGGCCCGCGUCCGAUUAGCUAGUUGGUGAGGUAAUGGCUCACCAAGGCGACGAUCGGUAGCUGGUCUGAGAGGAUGACCAGCAUCACUGGGACUGAGACACGGCCCAGACUCCUACGGGAGGCAGCAGUGGGGAAUAUUGGACAAUGGGCGCAAGCCUGAUCCAGCCAUGCCGCGUGGAUGAUGAAGGCCUUAGGGUUGUAAAGUCCUUUUAACGGGGAGAUAAUGACGGUACCCGUAGAAUAAGCCCCGGCUAACUUCGUGCCAGCAGCCGC